CUCCUUUUCACACGAUAACUAGAUAGCUAUUGUUCACAACUGGUUCUUUCCUGUUCAUCAAUCAAUUCCCCUCUAAAUAUCUCUGCUCAUCAAUCACUUUUGUCUGCACUUGAAACUCUGCUUACGAUUCUCUCUCUCGAACCCUAAGUCCAGCUGCCAUAGAAAUUUAGCAUCUCUCUGUUCCACCCCAACUCUGUUCCUACCACUACCAGAUAUAUCGUACCUCCUAGCCAUUCUCUUCCAAGUUUUUCCACUCAACUGACUUUCGAUCCCACGUAAACCCAUUACACUGGCCGUCUGAUUAACUUCAACAACACUCCCGUCAGCUUUUUCCUAUUGUUCAGACCUAUCUCGAGCAAGUUUGUUUUAUCAAUUUCUUGAACCCGUUCUUUGUGAUUUCAGUUUCUUGAACCUGUUUUUUGUGAUUUUUUGGCAAAAAAUCGGUAGUUACGUGUCAAGAAUUGAAUUUUAUUUGCCAUUUUUUAACACAUUUUCAACUUCAAUUAUUGGAAUAUUAUGAUGUCCAUGUUUUUUACUUGAGUUGAUUUCUUUAAUUGGGGAGAACAGUACUGGAGAUACAGUAGAUUCGGAGUCAAUUCUGCUGCACAUCCUCAUCCUCUUCUGCUAUCAUCUGCCGACAGAGAUUUGGUAUUCAUUUUUUUGGGUCAGGAAUUCUAAAGCAAAAUGACAUUUCUAGAAUCCAACUCUUGUCGUACUUUAUGAUAUUUCCCCCAGCACUUCUAUAAUAAUUUUUACCUCUUUUGGUUCAUACAGGAGGAGAAGCCUCAUUUCUUGUAAAUUGAAGACCAUUUAGACGAUAUGUCACACUUCCAUCUUUGAAUAUUAAAAAUUCUUAUUUUGUUUCUUAAGAUGUGGAAACUUCAAUUCUGUACCAAUGUAACUUGAUCGUGUGCAUUUUGAACUGACUUUUGCAGGAAAAAUAACAAUUAUUAUAGUGGCAGCCAUUGUUUCCAUAGUUCUCUUUUUUAUUGUAGCGCUGAUUGGAGUUUAUAUCUGAAAGCAAAUUACAAUACAAAAAAAUUGGAAAGGUGGACUGCAUUUAGCCUAUUUAAGUGUAACAUAUCAGCGGUAUAACACAGUUAUUCAAACAUAAGCUUCAAAAAUUUACUUUCUAUAGAAGAAUUUUUAGCAAUGGCUUCACUGCUUUCACCUGUGCAUUACGUUGCACUUUUCCCUAAAAGAUUCUUGAAUAAUUAUCAAGCACUCAAUGUUAUGAUAUUUGGGUAGAUGAGGUCUUUGAACACUAUUGAUGAUAUAUAUGAUGGUCUCAUCUGUUCCAAGCUUUGUGUGAUGCAAAGAAAUUGGCACAGAACUUUCAUCAUAGCAGCUUAAACUUCAAAUAUUCCACACUUGAGAAAGCAACUAAGUCUUCUGAUGAAGCCAACAAGCUUGAGCAAGAUGGAUUUGCCACAUUGUAUAAGGUUGUAGUUCUACAAACAUGUAUAAUCUACACUUUUCUGGAAAAUUUAAAAUAUUAUCAUAAAUAUUGAUGUCUAAGCUAAAAACUCCUGUUCUUUCAGGGAGUUUUGCAAGUUGGAAGAAAUAUUGCUGUAAAGAGGCUUUCUUUUAACAACAAACAUAUAACAACCGAUUUCUACAACAUUAUCCUCCUCCAACUUACUGUAUGUGUGUGUAUGUUGUGAUUAUAUAUAGCUUAGAAAAUCAGGGUAAUAUGACAAUGAAUCUACACUUGCCAUAUAUUUUUCUUUAAAAUUAUGGAAAAUCUGUGGAUAAUUGAUUUGAUAACUGACUCUAACAGGUACUUCAUUCCAUGAAUCCACGAGCAAUUCAAAAGCAUUUCAGAGGAUGAAGAAGAAGAAGAAGAAGAGAAAGUAUAUUAGAUUUCUAUAGCCAAAUAAUUGGGUUUUAGAUCAUAAGUUUGUUUUUUGAUUUCAUGUUUUUAAUGGUAAUAUAUUUGCAUCUUGCACUAUUUGAUGAUGUUACUCUAGCCUUUUCGAGGGAAAGGUAUGAUUAUCAACAGAGAAACCUGGUUUAAAUCAGAGUUUUACUAGCAAAUUAUGUAAUUUGACCAAUAACAUCCAUUUCGUUGCAAGUUCAAAGGUUUUUUUGUGUAGUAGAAUAUCUUACCUUGCAAAUUCGAUUCAACAACAUAAUGUUUGAAGCAAUUUUCAAAUUUCUUAAACAUGAGGAUUGGGUGGAUUGUGCAUUUACUAUUUAUGACUUUGGUUUCUCUUCACUUCAUUAAAAUGACAUUCGUUAUCUAGAUAUCAGCUUCAUUUUGGCCCUUUAUUGCAAGUCUUUCUCAUGUUAACAAGUCU
rnacentral:lncRNA from 1 species